CCUACGGGACGCAGCAGUGGGGAAUAUUGCACAAUGGGCGCAAGCCUGAUGCAGCCAUGCCGCGUGUAUGAAGAAGGCCUUCGGGUUGUAAAGUACUUUCAGCGGGGAGGAAGGUGUUGUGGUUAAUAACCACAACAAUUGACGUACCCGCAGAAGAAGCACCGGCUAACUCCGUGCCAGCAGCCGCGGUAAUACGGAGGGUGCAAGCGUUAAUCGGAAUUACUGGGCGUAAAGCGCACGCAGGCGGUUUGUUAAGUCAGAUGUGAAAUCCCCGGGCUCAACCUGGGAACUGCAUCUGAUACUGGCAAGCUUGAGUCUCGUAGAGGGGGGUAGAAUUCCAGGUGUAGCGGUGAAAUGCGUAGAGAUCUGGAGGAAUACCGGUGGCGAAGGCGGCCCCCUGGACGAAGACUGACGCUCAGGUGCGAAAGCGUGGGGAGCAAACAGGAUUAGAUACCCCUGUAGUC
rnacentral:rRNA from 1 species